rnacentral:ncRNA from 2 species
UAUAGUAGCUAGGGGUGUCUUGUUUUGACUGAGAAAUAAAUCAAUGUGAAUUGAGUUAUUACCCUCAUUACCUGAUCUGGGUUAUACCAGCGUAGGAAAGCAGAAAAUAUUAAUA